rnacentral:sRNA from 1 species
UUGGUGCUACGAGGGGCUACAUGCCCCAUAAAAUGCAAUUGCGCCCUCCAUUAUUAUAAACAUAUUCGAUUCCCCCAUGUCAGUUACAAUGGUAGAAAUUAGGAGGUAAGUCAUAACUCAGAGGAAAACUCCUUUUAAUGCUAAUCACUUGGGUUGGUUGCAGCAAAGAAUUGUCUCGAGAAGAAUGUAUGCUAUCAAUCAUGUUCACACCACUCUGAAGUGCUGAAAACUAAGUAUACUAUUAUUGACAAACAUUGCUGAUGAAAUAUUAGAAUGAUUAAGCGCAGCAAAUUUUUGAAACCACUCUAACCCUGAACUUCAUGACGUGGGUGGAUAGAUUGCCUGGCGAUAUUUUUGUAUCAGUGAUAUUCUACAGCUAUUAUAUAGAGAAACUUGAGUAACAGAUAUUUAUAGCUUUUAAUGAUGAAUGCUUCAUUUGCAAGACUCUGCUUACUGAUAGUUAUUGUGAUGCUUAGGUUGGGGGGCUAGGCAUUUCCCAGGGG